rnacentral:rRNA from 1 species
AGUCUGAUGUGAAAGCCCCCGGCUCAACCGGGGAGGGUCAUUGGAAACUGGGAAACUUGAGUGCAGAAGAGGAGAGUGGAAUUCCACGUGUAGCGGUGAAAUGCGUAGAGAUGUGGAGGAACACCAGUGGCGAAGGCGACUCUCUGGUCUGUAACUGACGCUGAGGAGCGAAAGCGUGGGGAGCGAACAGGAUUAGAUACCCUGGUAGUCCACGCCGUAAACGAUGAGUGCUAAGUGUUAGGGGGUUUCCGCCCCUUAGUGCUGCAGCUAACGCAUUAAGCACUCCGCCUGGGGAGUACGGUCGCAAGACUGAAACUCAAAGGAAUUGACGGGGGCCCGCACAAGCGGUGGAGC